CAACCAACAAAAUCACAUCUCCUAUGAACACAGUGAGAGCUUUCUGUAUACAAGUUAUACCUGAUCGACCAUCUGCUCAAAGUAGUAGGUGCUAUUGCAAUCAUGUUUGAACAUUCUGUCUGCUCUAUGUGGAAUACCACCUGCAGUUACUGAACUGGUGACAACCAGAGGAUCCAGAAGUUCAUGAAAGGAGGAGGAGAGUAGUAGUAGCUGUUAAUGAGUAUGAUUUGGCUGCUGCUUCUCAACAUGCUUUCUGUCUUCCUAAAGCCAGGAUUCUCCUGUCCUUAGAAGCCAGACCAAUUCAGAGUCUGACCCAUUUGGAUACUGCUCUUCCCAGUGUGGAUUAUUCAUUGAGGUUCCUGGAUCACCCAUGGAGAAGAUUUUAAAAAGACUUCCCAUUAUGAUAGUCUUAAAAUGAUUGCCUUCAAAAUGUCUUUGUCAAGCCCCAGCCAGGACUUGACAUUUGGUGGGGAAGGCGAGGGGCAGAUGAAGCCACCAGAGCUACCUGUAGUGACCUCUGGUGGCAGGGGGUCGUCUGGGCGGCAGACGGCAUCUGCAAUGGACGGGAAGCAGCUGAAACGAAGGGACAGCGGCUGACUCUGAUGAUGUCAUGCAUCACACACUGGGGAAGACAGAGACGCUCCACAGAGGCGGGAAUAUUAAAACUGACGAAUAGCUAAUGGGGGUUGGUCUUAGCCGCUGGAUGGUGGCUUAAGACAAACAGCAUGUAUAAAUAGCGCUGAGAGGCGGCUGCUCUCAGCACUAACUUUGACCCUGUAACUUGACUUGUUCUGUAUUCUGGCUGAGGUUACUCA